rnacentral:rRNA from 1 species
ACGAACGCUGGCGGCGUGCUUCGCACAUGCAAGUCGAACGGUGAAGCUCCAGCUUGCUGGAGUGGAUCAGUGGCGAACGGGUGAGUAACACGUGAGCAACCUGCCCCUGACUCUGGAAUAAGCGCUGGAAACGGCGUCUAAUACUGGAUACGAGAAGGGUCCGCAUGGGCACUUUCUGGAAAGUUUUUCGGUUGGGGAUGGGCUCGCGGCCUAUCAGCUUGUUGGUGAGGUAAUGGCUCACCAAGGCGACGACGGGUAGCCGGCCUGAGAGGGCGACCGGCCACACUGGGACUGAGACACGGCCCAGACUCCUACGGGAGGCAGCAGUGGGGAAUAUUGCACAAUGGGCGAAAGCCUGAUGCAGCGACGCCGCGUGAGGGAUGACGGCCUUCGGGUUGUAAACCUCUUUCAGCAGGGAAGAAGCGAAAGUGACGGUACCUGCAGAAGAAGCACCGGCUAACUACGUG